GGUAGCCAAGAAUAAUUUCUCAUUUUCAUUUCAUUUUCUAGCCAUACGAACUAACCAAAAUUUUGUAAAUUCCAUUUCUCUUCAGCACCUUUAGGUUAGAUAUGACGCCAAUUUUGUUUUGGCAUGCAAAAGGCUUCCACUACAAUUUGCAUAUUGCCCACUAAUGUCAAAUCUAUAGUAGCAUUCUUUGAGAAAAAGCCACGUUAUUAUUGAUAGUCAUUGUGGGAACAUUCAAUCCAUGUCAACGUUGCAUCAACUUAACUUUGUUUUCUAUAAUUUUAGUGCAGGAAUCAACUUUACAUGAUGCACCAUGAACACCGCAUUUAUAUUUGCUGAGUCAAUGAUCAAUGCUUCAACAAAACGACCAGUCAACCACACCAAGGAACCUUUCAUUGAGCAUGCAUUGGUUGACAAUGGUCAAUACGUGUGCUGCACUCACAAACAAAAGAUUAGCUAUUAUGAUAAGAUUAGACUACCAAAUAAAAACAACUUGGGAAUCUCUCCAAAUGGGGAAAUCAUUGAAGACAACUGGUCACUAAAGGAAGAAGAGUUUCGUAAGUUUUAAAAUUUAAACAUGUCCACAUUUCCUCUGACCUGAUAAGGCUAAGCAGGGGCUUCACUCUUUCUGUGCCAAUUUGUUUUUUUUUUGAAGUAUAUGUAUACUCUAAGGUCUUUUUAAAACAGUCAAAUAAAAAAAUUUGACCAAGUGUUUAUAGUUUAAUGGUAAGGAACUCUCUUUAGGUGUGCACACACAUCUUCCUACUGAUAGAAACUCGACAUACGUCCAAUUAUGGUGCGCGAUGGCGCACAUAAAAUUAGGCCUCUAGUGGUGAGAGUAUUAUUUAAUAAUUUUGGAAACUUAGUUCGAAUCAAAAUAGCUACAUGAUUUUCUUUUUUUAAGAUAUUCGUGUAGAUUACCCAAAAAAAAGAUUAUAUUUUACAAACUACAUUAAAAAAAAAAAGGCCACAAUGAGCCCAAUAUUUAAAAUAAAUAAUUUAUUAUUUUUUCUAAAAUUUUAAAUAAAAGAAUAGAGUUUGAGUUUUUCAUACUUCAAAUAUGCUCAAGUAAACAGUAAAAAAGUUAAGCUACCCAAAUUAAAUAAUUUUUUUUAAAUUAAACCCCCCCUAAUUUACGUGUAUGUAUCUGCCACUACCUUUCAAUAUAUCAUAAACCAAACCCAAAAAGAAUAAGUUAUUGAUACACAUGAGUAAAGACUAUAGACAAAGAUUAGUUUAAUAACGAUAAGUGAUAAGACAUUGUUGGGAAAAUUAGCAGGUGUAAUAAACACACAAUUAAAGUAAAAUUGAGAAAUAAUGAUCACAUAAGGACAUUAAAAUUUACAUGGUUCGACUUUUAACCUAUAUCCACGGACAAAAACAGAAGGAAAUAUUUUACUAGUGAAAAGAAGUUACAAGUAUUGUAGUGUUUUGUCUCACAACUCAAAACCCCAAUACACUCAAACUCUAAAAAACACUAGAACUAGAGCUAAAAGCUCUCAACACUCUCAACUUACACCUCUUUACUCUCUCACUCGAAUUGAAGAAAAUGGGAUGGAUGAAGAGGGCAAUUAAAACCUCUAUUUAUAGGCCAAGUAAUGCCCAAAAAUCAAUAAUGGUGAGCAUUAAAAUAAUAUAUAUUUUUACUCAACUUUCUACUUUGGUCCCAAAGUCAAACAUUGUGUGUCUCCCACUUACUUAUAUCUCUCACUUAUUCAACAAAUUUAUGCUAAGAGUCAAACACUUAUUCAACAAAUUUAUGCCAAGAAUCAAAAGUUGCAUGCUAGCCACAUGCAUGCACAUGUUCAACAAACAUGCCAUGAUUGAGCUUAUUUGAAUAUUUGGGUUUUAAUAUAUAUAAAUAAAACAUGCAGUAACCCAAAACUCAAACGACACAUUUUUUUUUAGAAGUUUGAAAAUGCUUUUUUUUUAGUUAUCAUUUUUGGAAGUUCCUAAAAAUGUAUAAUUCAAUUAGUGUUUCCCCAUAAUUUAGGGGUUCAUUAUUAUUUUUAGGUUAGUAUUUUUUAAAAUAAACGAUGUCUUGUAUUUUCUAUAUUUUGAAUAAAAGUAUGUGCUUGGUAUUAUUUUCUAUCUAUUGUAUUUUAAAAUUGAAAACAGUAAUAUGUGUUCGGUACGGUAGACAUAAUUUAGAAGGACCAAAACAAUAGAUAUGUGUUUGGUAGUACUAUUUUUAAAAAUAGCUUUUACUAAAUAUUGUCAUACUUAUUGUUACAAAAUAGGGCACAUUUCGAUAUUCUUUUCAUUUGACAUUUUUAUUAUACAAAAAUGAGAAUGAAAAUAAUAUUUUAA
rnacentral:lncRNA from 1 species